GGCUAACUACGCGAGCAGCCGCGGUAAUACGUAGGGUGCGAGCGUUAAUCGGAAUUACUGGGCGUAAAGGGUGCGCCCAUCGGUUUUGUAAGUCAGAUGUGAAAGCCCCGGGCUUAACCUGGGAAUUGCGUUUGAAACUGCAAGUAUUUGCAGCAGAGGGGAGUGGAAUUCCAUGUGUAGCAGUGAAAUCGAAGAGAUGUGGAAGAACACCGAUGGCGAAGGCAG
rnacentral:rRNA from 1 species